GACGAACGCUGGCGGCGUGCUUAACACAUGCAAGUCGAACGGAAAGGCCCUGCUUUUGUGGGGUGCUCGAGUGGCGAACGGGUGAGCAACACGUGAGUAACCUGCCCUUGACUUUGGGAUAACUUCAGGAAACUGGGGCUAAUACCGGAUAGGAGCUCCUGCUGCAUGGUGGGGGUUGGAAAGUUUCGGCGGUUGGGGAUGGACUCGCGGCUUAUCAGCUUGUUGGUGGGGUAGUGGCUUACCAAGGCUUUGACGGGUAGCCGGCCUGAGAGGGUGACCGGCCACAUUGGGACUGAGAUACGGCCCAGACUCCUACGGGAGGCAGCAGUGGGGAAUAUUGCACAAUGGGCGGAAGCCUGAUGCAGCAACGCCGCGUGCGGGAUGACGGCCUUCGGGUUGUAAACCGCUUUCGCCUGUGACGAAGCGUGAGUGACGGUAAUGGGUAAAGAAGCACCGGCUAACUACGUGCCAGCAGCCGCGGUGAUACGUAGGGUGCGAGCGUUGUCCGGAUUUAUUGGGCGUAAAGGGCUCGUAGGUGGUUGAUCGCGUCGGAAGUGUAAUCUUGGGGCUUAACCCUGAGCGUGCCUUCGAUACGGGUUGACUUGAGGAAGGUAGGGGAGAAUGGAAUUCCUGGUGGAGCGGUGGAAUGCGCAGAUAUCAGGAGGAACACCAGUGGCGAAGGCGGUUCUCUGAGCCUUUCCUGACGCUGAGGAGCGAAAGCGUGGGGAGCGAACAGGCUUAGAUACCCUGGUAGUCCACGCUGUAAACGGUGGGUACUAGGUGUGGGGGUCCAUUCCACGGGUUCCGUGCCGUAGCUAACGCUUUAAGUACCCCGCCUGGGGAGUACGGCCGCAAGGCUAAAACUCAAAGGAAUUGACGGGGCCCCGCACAAGCGGCGGAGCAUGCGGAUUAAUUCGAUGCAACGCGUAGAACCUUACCUGGGUUUGACAUGGAUCGGGAGUGCUCAGAGAUGGGUGUGCCUCUUUUGGGGUCGGUUCACAGGUGGUGCAUGGCUGUCGUCAGCUCGUGUCGUGAGAUGUUGGGUUAAGUCCCGCAACGAGCGCAACCCUUGUUCACUGUUGCCAGCACGUUAUGGUGGGGACUCAGUGGAGACCGCCGGGGUCAACUCGGAGGAAGGUGGGGAUGACGUCAAGUCAUCAUGCCCCUUAUGUCCAGGGCUUCACGCAUGCUACAAUGGCUGGUACAGAGAGUGGCGAGCCUGUGAGGGUGAGCGAAUCUCGGAAAGCCGGUCUCAGUUCGGAUUGGGGUCUGCAACUCGACCUCAUGAAGUCGGAGUCGCUAGUAAUCGCAGAUCAGCAACGCUGCGGUGAAUACGUUCCCGGGGCU
rnacentral:rRNA from 1 species